UACGGGGGGGGCAAGCGUUGUCCGGAAUUAUUGGGCGUAAAGGGCUCGUAGGCGGUCCAUCGCGUCGGGAGUGAAAAGCUGGGGCUUAACCCCAGUCCUGCUUCCGAUACGGGUGGACUAGAGGUAGGUAGGGGAGAACGGAAUUCCUGGUGUAGCGGUGAAAUGCGCAGAUAUCAGGAGGAACACCAAUGGCGAAGGCAGCUCGCUGGGACGCGAUUGACGCUGAGACGCGAAAGCGUGGGGAGCAAACAGG
rnacentral:rRNA from 1 species